UACGGAGGUGGCAAGCGUUGUUCGGAAUUACUGGGCGUAAAGAGCUCGUAGGCGGCUUAGUAAGUCGGGUGUGAAACCUCCAGGCUCAACCUGGAGACGCCACCCGAUACUGCUGUGGCUAGAGUCCGGUAGGGGAGCGUGGAAUUCCUGGUGUAGCGGUGAAAUGCGCAGAUAUCAGGAGGAACACCAGCGGCGAAGGCGGCGCUCUGGGCCGGUACUGACGCUGAGGAGCGAAAGCGUGGGGAGCAAACAGG
rnacentral:rRNA from 1 species